ACACAGUUCUUGUUUGGACUCUCACACACACAGAAUCCAUUGUGAUUGUCUACAAAGUGACAGUCAUUCUAAUGUCCUUGGGAAUGUUUGGGGAGUGAGAACAGAAUCUCUGUUCUGGCGAGUUUUUUUUUUUGUGGUUAUUACUGACAUAAGUACCGAUGCAGUAGUCUAUGUUUUUAACUUAGAUAUUAAAGCGAAUUACUAUAUUAAGAGUUACAAGGAAAAUAGAAAACCCUGAAGGAGUUGCAAAGUGUAAAUCCAUGCAGCCACUUUGGAAAACAGUCUGGUCAUUCCUCCAGUGCUCAAGCAUAGAGUUAGCAAACAUUGGAGCCAUCGAUUCUACUCAAAUGUAUCCACCCUUAGAGAAAUGAAAACAUAUGUCUAUACGUUAUACUUGAAUAUUUAGCAGUGUUACUGCUCUUAGCCAAAAGGGAGAAAUAACUCAAAUGUCUAACAGCUGAUGAAUAAUUAAAGCAAUAUAUGAUAUUCCAUACAAAGGAAUAUUAUUUUGACCCCCAAAAGUAAAGUAUGACAUCUGCCACAUGCCCAUUUUAGAUGAAUAAAUCAUAUGCCUUCAAACUGUGUAUUUGUUUUAUUUUUGGAGCUAGAGUCUCACUAUGUAGCUCAGGUUGUCCUCAAACUCCAGAUCCCCCUGCCUCGGCCUUAUGGCUGAGACUGCAGAUGUACCACACCAAGCUCAGCUAGUAUUGUUUUUAAAAAAUAAAAGUCCAAACUCCAGUCAUGGUUAAUCUCAAUUGUCAACUUGAUGAGAUGUAGACUCACUCAGGAGAUGGGCCUCUGGGUAUGCUUGUGGGGGAUUACCUCGAUGGUAUUAAUUGAGGUGGGCAAACCUGUAGUACCCUUCCCUAUCAUGGGAUCCUGGGCUGUGAGAGGAGAAAAUGAGUUGAACAGGAACAUUCAUUACUCUCUUACUGUAGACUGUGGAUGCCAGAAACUGUUUCAAGCUUCUGCUGCCUCGAUUUCCCCACCCUGAGCUGUCAAUCAAAACAAACUAUUCCUUCCUCAACUCUAUUUUGUCAUGGUAUGUUAUCAUAACAACAGAAAAAUAAAUAAGGAAAAUAAACCUUUCACAAGUUACCGAUGUCUGUCAAAUUUCUUGCAUCAAAACAGGCAAGAAAGUCAAACGCCAAAAUGUUAAGUCCAGGGACUGUGCCAUGUAUGUCGUCGUCUAUGCUGGCCCUUUGAUGGCCCUCCAUUCUUACUCCCCAGGCAGAAAUUAUGUUCUGUGGUCUCUGCUUCUCUGUUCUUAUCUGACACCACACCAAGUGGCUCCAGGGUCCAUAGAAUUCUAUUAAUUUGCCAAUACUAAUUCUCAGGUUUUAACUUAGCCAUGGCUAGUUGUCAAAAAAGGAAUUUUUAUUAGAAAGAAUUGUACAGUAGUAGAAUAGAGAGGAGAAAAUCUGGGCUUCCCGAACAUGGGGGACACUUGAAUGUCACCAGCUUCUGCACAUGUGCUUAAAUCUCAGCCAGUUGCAUAAAACAAAAAUCCAACGUAGCCUGCUUCUUUUGGUCUUUCAGACGCAAGGGGCUAGUGAAUUUUACUGAACAAUUUUCAUUUCUUUGGGACAUACAUAGACUCAAUUUCACCAUUCUUGUUAUUUCCUCCUGGAAAUAUAAUGGGAAUUUGUGAUCUUCUCAACCCUUUCGUGGUGGGGUGGGAGUUGAGCUUUUCGUGGGACAACCAGAAAGUUUCACCGUGUUGUCUCUCUUAAGAAUGUUCUUCUGGAGUCUCAGGCAUGCUGGGGGUCUUGGCUGCCACAAGAGCCCCUGUACCUCAGCACUUUCACUGUUUCUUUUCAGUGCUGGAGAGAAUGGGAUAGAAAAGGCUCCUGUACCUUCUCCUUAUUCUCGUUAAGAUAGAAGACUCAUUUGUCAAAAAAAACAGCGAAGAGCGGUUGGAGAGAUAGCUCAGUGGCUAAGAACACUGGCUGCUCUUCCAGAGGACCUGGGUUCAGUUUCCUUGGUGUCUCUUUAAUACCUGUAAAUCCAACUCCAAGGAGUCUGCCCCCCCUCUUCUGGUUUAAGCAGGCACGUGCACAUGUCUGAGCAUACACAAAAAGAAAAAAUAAAUAAAAUCUUUUAAAAGUGAUAAUGAUCACAGAAAAAUUAAUAUAAACAUUUGUUGACACCAUCAACUCUGUUGGGUGUGUUACUAAAAGCCAACUACCCUAUUACUAUAUAUUGUUAUUAUCAUGCUUGUUUCUUAGGUAAAUACAAGCCUUGAGGUGGUCAAGUAUCUCAUCCCAGUUAUUUUGUUGUUUAAUGAUGAAGUAAGGAGUAUGUUUGCUUGCUUGCUUGUUUGUUUGUUUGUUUGUUUGAGACAGGGUUUUUGGGUGUAGGUCUGGCCUCUCUGGGACUCUCUAUAGACCAGGCUAGCCUCGAAAUCACAGAGAUCCCCCUGCCCCUGCCUCCCAAGUGCUGACAUUAAAGGUGUACACCACCACCACCACCAGGCUGAAGUAAGGAUUUUUAAGCCAGCUGUUAUUUUAUUAAUGAUUUAAUUUGAUGCAACACCCAAAUUCUUAAUAAACCAAAUUUUCUUUGUAUAUCCAAAGGAAGUGACCACACAAUGUGGACUUUUACAUUUGUAAUUGGGCAGUGUCUGUUGGUUUUCCAGAAUUGCUCUAUAUUGCUCUAUUCUGCUUUGAGCAUCAGGACAAUAACUUCAAUUAUAUCCAGGAUUCUCUUACCUAUUGGUGCAAGGAUAGAGUUUCUGAAUAUUGGAUGGAGCGAGGUGUUGAAAAUCAGUUUCCUUCUUUGUCUUUCUGACGACUGGCGAUUCCCUGCAGGUGCCCAGCUCCUGCCCCAUGGUGGCACUUCUCAUGCUCCUUCCCUGUCUCUGGGUUCUAGUGACACCUCCCUCCCUUUACCGUUGGCCUGAAGGGUGGUAACACUUGCUCUACCAGCCCCAGAGAUUACAAAACCCUUUUGUGGAUUCUCUCUACUUUGCCUAGGCCUUUGUAAAUAAGCCCGUAAUUCAACUCUGACUUGUCCUCUUUUGAGUGCGCCUUUUGUUCUGAUCGGUGCAGUUCCUUUGAGAGUUCCCUAAUGCCUGGCAUGGUUCUCCUUCAGUUUACCGCCAUGCUGGAUCUAGUGACUGGACAGACUGUACCCUCUCCACAGGAAGGAAAGUGAAUGUUCCUGUCAUUGCAAGUGGGACUCUGCUCAGUUGGAUGAACUGUUAGGAAAAACAGGGUGGUGAUCUCCAGCUCUGAUUCAGUCACCCCAGGGAUGUGGGAUUACUGGUACCUUUUAAAACCCAUUACAGGUUAAAGAAAACAUUCUUCGUAUUAGCAAGCUUUGGCCCACACCUGCACAGACGACCAGUUUUCUUUAUUAUGCCUGGAAUCAUUGGAUGUAACUUCUUUUCUACUUUGCCUGAAAGUCUGGAAAGGUAAAGAAAAGGUCCUGGUGUUUUAGCAGUUCCCUGGAGAAUGUCACGAACUGUUAUUAACGUUGUCCUGAUUUAGAUUUGAGGCAUGCCCACAUAUCCAUCUUUACUCACAAGGAAAUUGGGAUUAGAAAUUUUGCUUCUUUAAAACUGACAUUUUACUUCAUUCCCUAUAAUUCUGAAGCCAUGGAUUCCUAGAAAUGAACUUUAGGUAAGUAUUAAUUGAGUGUGUUGAACUAUCACAAUGUUUUCUUGAAAGAAAUGACAGCAGCUGGCCAGGUCAAAAAUGGAUUUUCCUUGUGGAGAAAACAGUGUGAGAAAGGCCAUAGAUUGGAGAAAAUAUGAGAAUUUCAUUCCCUCCCAGGCUUUAUCUGUUAUAAGUGUCCUGGGACAAUAGCAUUGAGAAUUCAGGUAUGUGUCAUUAAGGUCACUGGGGUGUGGAUAGUUGGCAUCUGUACUUACGGUGAUCAACCUCCCCAGUUACCAGGACUGUUCCAAUUUAACACUGACUGUCCCAGGCCCCAGAAAACUAAUAAGCUUCAGAGUAAUGUGAAGAAGAAUUCCUGGAAGAAAUGUGCACCUGCAAAGGCUCAAUGACUGAGUAGAAUACGGAAAAACUCUGCUAAUUAAGGUCGAAGUCCACCAUGACCAACCUCUGGGAGACCCAGGAAGAACUUCAGUGGAAUAGAAAGGUUGGGAUGAUGCAGGUCUAGAGGAUAAUUAUGUAGUUUUAACCAUUCCUUGUCUAUUUUGUUGAGGCUAACAUCUUGUGACAAAUACCUAAAAACCUUUGGCAUCUAUUGAUUUUAGUACACCACUAGUUUCCACGAACUCAAGAGACAAGAACACUUGUAGAAGAAUUUUAACCUAACAACAUGGCUGCUCUGGCAAGGGAUUAUAUCCAAAGUCUUUGGUCUUGGUGAUCUGACUGAAAUGCAGACAUACCCUUAGUACACACCUUGAGGGUAAAAUUAGUUUGUAGAAGGAAACAGCUAUGUUUGAAACUGACAUCUAAUUGAGGGGCAGACAAGGUGAUGAAUCAGAGAAAGAUUUGACAGAAUGAGUCAGAGAUAGGAUACACCCAACUCUCAUGAGAAUGGCACAGGAAAAAGAAGCUAUUUAAGAGCAGCAAAAGGGGAGAGAGUCAGUCUGUUGGUAGUCUAUGCAGUGAGUGCAGUGCAGUAGAGCUUGUUCAUGAGUUCAUGCAGUUGAGUGCAGGUCAGUAGAGGCAGUUGAAGUCAAAGAAUAAGAAAGAGCCCGAAGAUUAGAACAAAUUGCCAGAGUUAAUUUGAGGCCAACCAAGCAAAGCAAUUCAGUGAGAAGCUGAGAGAAGCCAAAUUGAGUCAGUUUGGAGAGGAGUGUGAACCACAACUGAGAUGAACCAGCUAGCCAGAGUUCAGAACAAACUAGAAAGGGUGAGAUUAUUCAGCAGUCAGCUUCCAAGACGUCAAUUACAUGAGGCAAAUAAAGCUACUUUUACAAAUCCUGCUAGGUAGCACCUGUGGCCUGUAGCAGAGAUUCCCUCAUCCUGCUGUAACCAACUCUUGUUUCCACCAAUGUAUCUUAAAAUCUCCUUGAUUUAUAAUAUCUUUGCUUUAUUACUACAAAGACAAAACCAACAGCAACAAAAGUAAACUGCUUCCAUGAUAGAACAUGGAACCUGAGGUAAUAAAACAUUUCCUAAACCGUGGCCACUCAGAUUUUGCUCUAGACUAAACUAUUUGAUUCUCAUUGAGAUGAAAGCUGUUUUUGCUGCUGCUGCUGCUGUUGUUGUUUUAUUUGUUUGUUUUGCAUCAACUCAUGCCAGAACAAUUAGCUAGCUACCCUGUCCUACAUAAGCAGCUGUUAAAUAUUUUAGCUAUCUUUCCUGAAUUAAUAUGUUAAGUUACUGGGCUACAGAAAUGGCUCUGUGGGAAAAGUGCUUACCAUGAAAACUUGAGAAUCUGAGUUCAGAUCUCUGGAACUUGCAUAACGUAUGAUAGCACCUAUCUGUAGGUCCAUCACUCCUAUCUCAAGAUAGGAGGCAAAGACAGGACUAUUUCUAGAAGUGUGUGGUCUAGCUAGCUGGGCUUAUAUUGCAGCAAGCCAUAGACCAUGUUUCAAACAAGGUGGAGGUGGGAAUCUUUACCUAAGGAUGUCCUCUGACCUCUGCAUGUGUGCUAUGAUGUGUGAGUGCCUGCAUUCACAUAUACUCACUUGAACACACACACACACGAUAAAUACAUAAAUUAAGGCACACACAUGUAAUGUGUCAAUGCACACCUCCAGCUUAUGCCAAGUCUUGGCGUUAUAAUAAGCUUGUGUCUUCAACAGCUCUCUUGUCUUUCUGGCUCCUGAGUAUGAUUUCUAGCUUGUUCCUGCAUUCUCAUGCAUUGUUUAAGGUAACUACCCCCUCUCACCUUGACAACCAACUUUUCUAUAGGUAAAGUCUCCGAGGCAUCUUGAACUUCCCCUUUCUGCUAGCAGAUAACUUCCUCUCAAGGAUCCUUGAAGCAUCCCCUUCAGACUUCUGCUUAGAGGAAAUACCUUUUUAGCCUCAGAAAGGGACUGGCUGUGUGAAAAGAAAGGCUGCCAUGACUGGAGUGCUGGAAGACUCUUUGAGAAACCACAGCCUCGUUUUAGUUUUUGUUUUUUUUUUUUUGUCCCUGAAUUCUGCAAGAAUAGCAGAUACGCCAGCUGAUACCCGUGGCAGGCAGAAGUGUUCUUCCUAUCUGCUGCUUCCAGAGCCAACCAGCUGUGCUCUGCCUCUGUUCCCCAGACACCUGCCAGCUCCCCUGGCAUGCUUCCCUGCAGCACAGCCGCACCCAGGCUUUGGGAACGUCACUGGCCAGACCAGGUCAGGUGAUGCAAGUCAAAGAAAAUGUUGUCCCAAUGCCUUCAUCCACACUUGUGACACUUACAGGCAUUGGUAAAUAAUUUACAGAAGUGUACAUUUCCUAUUUAAAUUGAGCUGUGUGAUAUUUCUAAUCAGGAGUUAAGAAAAGUAGAUGGUGUCUGAGUAUGGUGGUGCCAUAUCCGACCUUUGUUCUUUGAAGUAGUGCAUAAGCGGUACACAUUUGAUAUAAAUGGCUCUUCUGAUUUUUCAUUUCUUGGUCUAACAAUACCCUAUCAGAUUCUCUUCAUGUCAGUUACAUAAUAAAAAUGCCAAGCUGCGGGAUCCUGUGGGCUAGAUGCACAGAAUGCAUGUUCAAGGUACAAUAUUUUCACUUUAUAAUGGUAUCUUUGUGGCAUAAUUCUACUAGAAGCACCAUAUUCCACAUUCUUGGGAGUGUUUACUUUGUUAUGGGCCAAAGCAUUCAUCUACAACUCUCAGGUCAUCUGCCAAUGACCAAGUCUGCAGGUCACCACCAUCACCAUCAUCACCACGGUUAUUUUUGAUUUGGUCAA
rnacentral:lncRNA from 1 species